GCGAAUAAGGACAAUAUUAUACUGAACAAAGUUGAAAUACAGUUGAAGAGCUUGACAUCUUUGUUCUCAAUAUCAAUGGCGUACAUGGUAGGAUAGAAAACCUUAUACAUGUGUCGAAUUACAACUCAAAAUCCCAAAUCAUAAGCCAAAAACAAGAAUAUUUCUGACAAGAAAGUUAAUUAUUUCAUUUGGGCAUUGCCCACUUGGAUAGACAUUUAGAUAUUGAGAAAGCAAUAAGAAACAACAAUAACAACCAUGUAUCCGUAUUCCUUCAGGCACAAUAUCCACUCACCCGGCGGCGGUGAAGAGAAACCAACACCUUUCCUGUUCAGAUCGAGAAAUAUAUGUCUAAACCUCAACCGAUUAUCUCAAAAACUGGAAACUAUUAUGAAAAAAAUGCCUAAUAAUUCACAAGAGAUUAAUGCCUAAUAAGACACACAACACUUUCAAAUAAACUAUUAAUCAGUACAGCACCACAUAAAAAGUACAAAAGAAAUCCAGAUCGGUUCUUUUCUUGGUUAACAAAGACAUUUUCGUAUACCACAACAGUUUCGAAUCAAAUACCAACAAGUACAGAAACACAUAAAAAAGAAGAAGAAUUUCCCGAUCUGGAUUCGUUCACUUUGAAAAUGAAACACAAAAAAAAACAAGAAGAAUUUCCAGAUCGAGAUUCGUUCACUUUCAAAACGACAUAAAAUUAUUAUAUUAUUUUCGAAUAAGGAGUUAAACUUACUACUGCAAAAUCUUCGAACUUACCAAUGUCGAUUAUCUGAAAAAAUUUCUGAAACAAAGAUGAACUUCAAGUCUACUCGUCAAUCUGCAUAAAAUAUUGUAGCAUAUCAAUUGUUUUUGUUCGGAAUGCCCUAAUCUACUCCUCAAGAUCAAAGAUAAGUUGAGCGUGAAAGAUGGAAGAAAUAGAAUCUUCCAGAUUUACCUUCGUGGUAAAAUUCCGAAUAACCCCUUCGCCUCUAUAAAAAAUUGGACGAAAUUAAUGAAACGCGUUUUUAAAUU
rnacentral:lncRNA from 1 species